GAUGAACGCUGGCGGCGUGCUUAACGCAUGCAAGUCGAACGAAGCAUUUGCGACAGAUUUUUUCGGAAUGAAGUUGCUUAUGACUGAGUGGCGGACGGGUGAGUAACGCGUGGGUAACCUGCCUUGUACUGGGGGAUAGCAGCUGGAAACGGCUGGUAAUACCGCAUAAGCGCACAAUGUUGCAUGACAUGGUGUGAAAAACUCCGGUGGUAUAAGAUGGACCCGCGUCUGAUUAGCUAGUUGGUGAGAUAACAGCCCACCAAGGCGACGAUCAGUAGCCGACCUGAGAGGGUGACCGGCCACAUUGGGACUGAGACACGGCCCAGACUCCUACGGGAGGCAGCAGUGGGGAAUAUUGCACAAUGGAGGAAACUCUGAUGCAGCGACGCCGCGUGAGUGAAGAAGUAAUUCGUUAUGUAAAGCUCUAUCAGCAGGGAAGAUAGUGACGGUACCUGACUAAGAAGCUCCGGCUAAAUACGUG
rnacentral:rRNA from 1 species